rnacentral:rRNA from 1 species
CAUGUAGGGGGCGAGCGUUGUCCGGAAUCAUUGGGCGUAAAGAGCUCGUAGGCGGCUCAGUAAGUCGGGUGUGAAACCCUCAGGCUCAACCUGGGGACGCCACCCGAUACUGCUGUGGCUAGAGUCCAGUAGGGGAGUGUGGAAUUCCCGGUGUAGCGGUGAAAUGCGCAGAUAUCGGGAGGAACACCAGCGGCGAAGGCGGCACUCUGGGCUGGAACUGACGCUGAGGAGCGAAAGCAUGGGUAGCGAACAGG